GGCCUAAAUCGCAUCAUUGUAUCAUGGACUAGAAUGACAACGCACUCAAAUCAGUGAGCCAAAUUGAAAAAACAAAGCAAAAUAAAAAGGAUGCAAUUGAAGCCCCAUGCGAAUGCAAAGGAUUUAGCGCGCAAAUUUACCUUGCAUACAAAAUGGCUCAGAUCCGAUUCACAUUUCGGGCCAAUGCGCGGACCUUCAUUGCUAGUGAACGACACCGUUUUUUCAAUAUGUUAUUUAGAACCUUCCUUCUACCCUUUUCUUCUCCAAACACAACCCCCAUUCAAUCAACAUUCAUAGCCCAAAAAUCAAAUGGCCUGGGCUCCUUUCAGCAGCUACCGAGUUACCAUUCCAUUUGGUGGCCAGUAACGCAUGGGCAGUGACCAGAUCUCGCCAUCGGAGGCUCCACACGAAGAAAUCUGAUUUGGCCGUACAGAGGAGGCGUGCGAAGGAGGCUGCGCGAGGAGCCACUCGUGGGAGUCCCAAUUUCUGGCCUAUUCUGGCACGUUCCAGAAGCUCCCAGUGCUGCUGAGAUAAUUUUGGAUGUAUUGGGCCUCGGGUUUUAGGGCUUAUUGGGUCAUGGGUUAUUAAAAAUGGGUUAAAAUUAUUGGAUUUUAUGUAAUUGGGUAAAGGGUUUUUUUUGGGGGUAUUUGUUUAAUUGGAUUAAAAAUGUAUUUGGGCUGCUUUAAUUUAGUUUAUUUUCUGUUUA